rnacentral:rRNA from 1 species
UACGUAGGGGCCGAGCGUUGUCCGGAGUUAUUGGGCGUAAAGCGCGCGCAGGCGGCCUCGCGCGCCGACGUGAAAGCCUCCGGCUUAACCGGGGAGGGUCGUUGGGGACGGCGGGGCUUGAGGGCGGGAGAGGUCGGUGGAAUUCCCGGUGUAGUGGUGAAAUGCGUAGAGAUCGGGAGGAACACCUGUGGCGAAGGCGGCCGACUGGGCCGACCCUGACGCU